UCUGUUUGACAUAGAUUGUUUACAUCGCAUACCAUAGAAAUCACAGAAAAAUAGAAAAAAAUGAACAAAAAAUAGCAUAUUCUCAUAAUAAUUCCAAGAUUGUUUACAUCGCAUACCAUAGAAAUCACAGAAAAAUAGAAAAAAAUUAACAAAAAAUAGCAUAUUCUCAUAAUAAUUCCAAGAACUAUAUAGAAGUAAAUGGACUAAAAGAGAAAUAAACUACAUAAUCCAGGUAGAAACAAGAUAUGUCUGGAUCUCUGUCUGUUGUGUCAUUUGAGGGAGAACUCAAUGCCAUUGUACAAGAGUACCUGGAGUUUGUGACAUUUGACAAGACGUUGGUAUCUUUCCAGAAAGAAUGCGAAACAAAGCAGAAACCUAUCACUACACAGAGUAUAAAGUCUAAAUCAAACCAGAAAUUACUGGCUAUACAGAAUGAAUUGAUGCAAAAUUUCCAUAAAGGAAAGAGAGACAUAUUUCUGAAGUUAUAGAGUGAAAAUUUGGCAGCCUCUGUCAAAGACCAGGACCCAGUGGCAAAGAAACUAGAAUUUUAUGUCAAUAUAUAUUUUGCUGUGUAUCCAAUAAAGUUUGCAAGAGGUCAGAGAGAUGCUGACAGAGCUAUGGGAGAUUUUAAGAAGUACAUAGAAACCCGAGGUGCUACACUGAGUCAGACAACAGAGUUUUUACCAUACUAUGCUUUACCAUUUGUACCCAAUGCCAAGGGACAUCCAUCUUAUAAAGAAUUGUUCACAGACACAUGGGUAAAGGAUUUAGAGUUAAGACUGGAAAAGUUCCUGACAUUAACUCUGAAGUCAACACCACAACCAAAACUGUUCGAUCUUUAUAGAGGAAAUAAAGUUGGCGAUGAAAAUGAGCAAUUUCAACAGAUAUCCCGAUUACAGCAGCAGUUAGUCGACUCUGAAAGAAAGACCAUGUCAUACAUAAAACGACACAACCGUGUACAGGUACCUCUAACACUCAAUCC